CGUCGUCGUCGUCGUCAUCAUCAUCAUCAUCAUCACCAUCAUCAUGAUCUGGAUAAGAUGGAUGAUUUUGAAACUAUAUAUCAGAUUAUAUUAUCUUAAAAAGAUUUCAUUAUCUGAACCAGCAUGUCGGUACCAAUGCCACAGAUAAUAGGAUCCUGUACGACUUGAAGGUGAACAGAAGGAAGAUAAAUUCUCAGGGAUUAUUAAACAAAAGCUCCCCUAAGACUCCUGUACAGCAAAGCUGGAAGAACCCAACGCACCACUCAAAAGCUGUCAGCCCAAAAUAAUUUGUGCAUCCUUUCACCAAGAUGCUACAGUUCCUUUAACGUUUUGCCUUUUGUAAAUCGUUUUCACAUAUCUACUUUUAUUUCUGUCUUUAUUUAAUUGAUAGGCUGCCCAUUUCACUGUCGAGCAUGACUUCACACUAUUAUGGACAAUCAAUCCUUUUAUAGCCAACAUCAUUUACCGAAUCCUCUCCACCCAUCAGCCGCUGCCUUUUCUUCUGGUAUCCCCUUGAAGGUCAAAGCAUUCAUUCUGAUAUGAUUCUUUAUAUACAGUUUACAUAAGAACCCUAAAGAGCAUAGAAUAAGGUGGGGGGGGGAGUGCACACCUGGAAGCCAAAGUCAUAAAUACGAUAGCUGAUACAGAAGAAAAGCAGAUGGAAAAGAUUUUUGCGGUGUUCUUUCAGCAAAGAGCAUUACAGUCUACUGACUGUUGAUAUUAUUUUUGGCAUGUUCCUUGGGCUGUGUGACGCUGAUGGAAAUAGAUGUUUCCAAGCAGACUGUACAAUGUGUUAAUAAAUCUGAAUUGGUGAAUUAGCCUUGAUAUGCCAUAUAAAUACUAGUGACUAAUGACCAACUGAAAUUGCAGUUCUACCAGUAUUGUAAUCUGAGAUACUCCAGGGGAGAUAUUUUCAGUAACAGGUUGCAUGAGGCAGACAACAAGCAAUUGACUGUAAGGGUAUUUUCACAAAAAGUUAUAGCAGCCCAGCUGGAGUCUGCCCUGAGUAUUGGAAUUCAAACAAAUGUGAGUCACUAAAUGUUAAUAAACUUUAGAUUUUAUAAGGUAAACAAUUUAAGCUUCUAAUUUAAAUAAUUGGAUUAUACUUGUUUAUAUAAUCCAAUUAUUGUUGGAUUGUAUAUUUGUUUGUAUACUUGUUAAAAAUAAUAAAAUUAUUUUUAACUAAUUUUCUUUCCGUUUCCAGCAAAGUCAUCAUUGAAAAGUACAACUUUGAAAUUGUUAUCUCUUCUUUCCAGAUUAAUUGCUGACAUAACAUAAAAUUAUUACUAAAAUAAUUACGUACAAUGAAUGAUAAUAAAAACAUUUUGAGAGGGUUUUUCUGAUGCUUAUACUGAAGAGCUUUUAAUCUUGUUAAUUCUAUGCAAUUCAGUAGAAUUUGGUUCGAGGUACCGGUAGAUAUGUUUUUGAGUUAUGUUGUUUUUAAUUUUGGUGGGAAUUUGAGAAAGCACUGGUGGCCCAGUGGUUAGAAUUCAGUAUUGCAGGCAAA